rnacentral:lncRNA from 1 species
GCUGCCCGAACGUGUAAACGCCUUCCAUUCUCUCAAGCACCAACUGUUCGUCGUGGUAAAACAAAAUCGCCGGGAAAAGAGCAGCCAAGGCGCCGCCCAAACUGUGGCCCGUCACUAUAACCUUCGCCUGAGGGUUGUUCUUCAAAAGGUCUUUCAACUUAUCCCUUAUGUCAUAAUAAGCCAAGGGUGCUUUGCGGGUAAGGUCUGGAACCACAAACUUGGGCCAACCCACAAGUUUCUGCAUCCCCAAAGCUUUCAAGAAACCACUGUGAAUCUUCCCAAUGUUGGGGAAUUCGUACCAAGACAGAUCGGCGUCCGAACACCAAUCGUCGGCACUAAACGGUUGUGUUC